rnacentral:rRNA from 1 species
CCUACGGGAGGCAGCAGUGAGGAAUAUUGGACAAUGGGCGCAAGCCUGAUCCAGCCAUGCCGCGUGCAGGAUGAAGCAUCUAUGGUGUGUAAACUGCUUUUAUACAGGAAGAAACCUCCCGACGUGUCGGGAAUUGACGGUACUGUAAGAAUAAGGAUCGGCUAACUCCGUGCCAGCAGCCGCGGUAAUACGGAGGAUCCAAGCGUUAUCCGGAAUCAUUGGGUUUAAAGGGUCCGUAGGCGGGCCAGUAAGUCAGUGGUGAAAUCUCUCCGCUCAACGGGGAAAUGGCCAUUGAUACUGCUGGUCUUGAAUUAUUAGGAAGUAACUAGAAUAUGUAGUGUAGCGGUGAAAUGCUUAGAGAUUACAUGGAAUACCAAUUGCGAAGGCAGGUUACUACUAAUGGAUUGACCGNUGAUGGACGAAGGCGUGGGUAGCGAACAGGUAUUAGACUACCCGUGGUACGUCCACGUACCGUAAACGAUAGAUACUAGUACUGUUGGGUCGUACUACUAGUG